rnacentral:rRNA from 1 species
UACGUAGGUGGCAAGCGUUGUCCGGAAUUAUUGGGCGUAAAGCGCGCGCAGGUGGUUUCUUAAGUCUGAUGUGAAAGCCCACGGCUCAACCGUGGAGGGUCAUUGGAAACUGGGAGACUUGAGUGCAGUAGAGGAGAGUGGAAUUCCAUGUGUAGCGGUGAAAUGCGUAGAUAUAUGGAGGAACACCGGUGGCGAAAGCGGCUCUCUGGACUGUAACUGACACUGAGGCUCGAAAGCGUGGGUAGCAAACAGG